ACACCCUGUGCUAGAAAACUGGCUGAGAAACUGCACUAUGAACUUUGUUUCUAACAAUUCUGCUGCUGCGCUUUGACUGAUGUUCCACCAACAAAUCAGAUCAUAGUUUGUACUUCUAAUUGCAGCCACUGUAACAGUAUCUUUACGCAGUCUUUCCAUUCCAUCUCAAGAGUGUCCUCCUAGCCUCGCCUUUUUCCUAUUUAAUAUCUCCUGCACAACCUCUUCAGAAAUAAUUGGUAGUUUGAAAUGAGCUGAACUUAUGCUGCAAGGGGAGAUUCUGGAGCACAGAUAUCGUGGGUGGGAUUUCCACGCCCAGUCUGUGGAGACAGCACAUAACCUGGUGUGUCUGUAUAAAAGAUGGACAAAGCUGGCUGAUUCCCCCACCCUGUGAGCUGAAAGCCUUCUGUGUCUCUCCCGCCUUCCGUCAGCUAAUGAACGUCAAUUGACAUAAGUGGCACAGUGACAUCCACUAAUUAGACUAUCACUUAACUCGGGAAGUGUGACAGCAUGAACAUGUUUUGGAGAACAAUCAGAAUACUGUAAAAGCAAUAUUAAAAUUCCUGGCUUUCUACAAAAUAUAUAUGUACAUUGCAUAUGUAUAUACACACAUACACAUAAGACAAAAUCAUUUCUAGUUUAAGACAGAAUUACUUUCAUUUCACAAUGAAAUUUUCAGAACUCAUCUUCAUGUUUCUCUAGUAACAGUGCUUCUUGAUGAAUACCAUGAGUGGCACAACAUUUAAGUUUCACAACUCUUGAUUUUCAUCCCCUUGAUAUCAGACAGUAUUCACUAUGGCAAUAACAUUACACAGUCACGUAAUCUCUGUAGAAGUAAAAAAUAAAAUAAAAUGAAAAUAAGUAUUUAGUAAAAAGAACUAAGUAAGAUAAAGAAUUAUUAAGAAGUUAGAGAAAUAAUAGCCCUAGACAAACUUAAGAGGAACAUGGCCAUCAUUUCCUUAAAUAGCCUCAAUAUUGUUUGUCUGCUGGUGUAUCUGCUUUUGAGAAAUUAGCAUUUGAAAUUUUCUUAUCAAGGUUUCUUUAGGGAGGUGUAAUUCAAGGCCUAUGAAAGGAACAGGAAAGUAAUCACUCACUCUUGAAAAGCGUGGGCUCACCUCUAAUCCCAUUCUUCUCCUCACUUCUGUAAAGCGUUAGUUCAAAGACAACUAUAUAGGUUUGAUUGUAUAUGUAUGUGUGUGUGUGUGUAUUUUGUAUACAGGAUAUAUACACACACACACACACACACACACACAUAUAUAUAUAUAUGUAUAUAUACAUACCACCUUCUCAGAGCCGUUAUAAAUUAUAUUACAUUACAUCAGUCUUCUUUGAAGUUUCCAUCACAUAUGAAAUAGAUGCCUUCCGGUUACAGAAUAUCCAGGCUUAGACAAGUGACGUGCUUUGUGUUAUUCAUUUAUUUGUCCUACACUCACAAUAUUUUUACGUUAUUCUUCACUGGCAGUACCACAGGACUGUCAGCAGAAACCACCACGGUAGUGCAGUUUUCUGGUGUUUGUGCUAUAAUCAAAUUAACAGAGAUUCUAGCACCUAUUGAAGCACUCAGAAUAUCCGCAAUCAGUUCUCCAAAUGAUUUAAACAAGGAGAUAGUCUUAUUUGCACAUCAGCAAUUUCCACUCCAACAGAAACAAGACUGAAGCAAAAGAAAGAAUUCUUUCCAACAAUUGCCACUGUUCAUACUCGAAGGAUGUUUAUUACAAGGAAACGUGAAGUGUGUUAGUGAAAGGAUAUAGCUAAUGUGACAUUAAAGUAAAACCAGCAUGAUGACCUACUUUUGUUUCUGCUGAAUUAAGUUACAUUUUGUCUUGCCUUGAGAGACUGAAUAUCAUUAGUUAGAGUACCAGGCAUAUUACGCGCUUACCUUCAGUGACAGAUCAAAGCAGCGAGGUAAUCCAGGGACAACAGUGUUGAGCUGUAUGACAGUUGUGCACAGUGGAGUCCUGGGAGGAGGUCACUGCCUAUACAGAAUAAGCAAACAGUGUAAGUUGCUGGGAUAAGUAUCCUUGGGAAAUAUCCUGGGAUAUUUCAGUGUAAGUGCAAUCCAAGAUGCUGAAAUCAAUACAAAUGUGAAACCCAUUUCUAAUUUGCUGUGUUAUGAGAAACGGAUGAGUAAAAACAUAGCGUCUUUUUGAAAUGGACUAUUUUACCUACUUACUUGAAUAUAUAUGUGCAUCAUCAAUACAUUGACAUCAUAAUUCAUCAAAAGGUAUCUAUGGAUACUCCAAACAUUCCUACUUCAAAAGAUUUGUAGGAUCAGAAAACUCCAACAACCUUGAUUCUGAACCUUGGAUGGCCUUGAGCCAUUCACAGCUAUGAACUUAAUCUUUGCUGAAACAAAUGUUUGUAAAGUGAAGUGGAUGUGGAUAAGAUUAUGAAAGAGCAAACCUUAUUUUGUGAUGAGCCCAGAGUUCCUGACACUGCACAGCAUGGACACCGUGGUAUUUGUUAUUCACUAACCUUUCGUGCACUUUCUAGUGUAAAGGACAUAAAAUAUCAACCAAUGUAACUUCCUUUUUUUUGUAUCUCGUAUGACUGCAUCUGUCAAAAAAGCUAACUUACUGAUUAAUGAACUCCAAAGAUAAUCUGUGAAAUUGUGUUCAACUAUUGAUCAUUUUCUGACAUUUCCUGCUGCAAAUAAAGGUGUUUGCUCUUUUUUCCACACACAUUUUUCCUCCUCUAUAUAUAAGUACAGAGAAUCUUUCAGUACGUUUACAACAAAUGAAGUCAAAGACUUCACUUCUGGUAGAAAUGACAGAAAGACUCAAAUGUGAUGCCCACAUUACAGUGAAUAUACUUUCAGAAAACUGAGGUCAUUUUUCAUUGUUUGCACAAGUUGGGAUUAAGUCUCUAAAACCAACACACUAUUUCUUCAAACAAAUCACUGUAUACACCUGAUUAAAUCAGAGUACUUUACAUUAGAAGGCAAAUGUGUUUUAGUAAAACCCCA
rnacentral:lncRNA from 1 species